rnacentral:rRNA from 1 species
AUCUAUGGCCAUAACACCCUGAAUGUGCCAGAUCUCGUCUGAUAUUGGAAGCUAAGCAGGGUUGGGCCUUGUUAGUACAUGGAUGGUGGAAAAGUAAAUGGAAAGCAACUGAAGAAG